AACGAACGCUGGCGGCAUGCCUAACACAUGCAAGUCGAACGAGACCUUCGGGUCUAGUGGCGCACGGGUGCGUAACGCGUGGGAACCUGCCCUUAGGUUCGGAAUAACUCCCCGAAAGGGGUGCUAAUACCGGAUAAUGUCUUCGGACCAAAGAUUUAUCGCCUUUGGAUGGGCCCGCGUUGGAUUAGCUAGUUGGUAGGGUAAAAGCCUCCCAAGGCGACGAUCCAUAACUGGUCUGAGAGGAUGAUCAGCCACACUGGGACUGAGACACGGCCCAGACUCCUACGGGAUGCAGCAGUGGGGAAUAUUGGACAAUGGGCGAAAGCCUGAUCCAGCAAUGCCGCGUGAGUUAUGAAGGCCUUAGGGUUGUAAAGCUCUUUUAACCGGGAUGAUAAUGACAGUACCGGGAGAAUAAGCUCCGGCUAACUCCGUG
rnacentral:rRNA from 1 species